CAGGUAAUACUUUUUUUUCUUAUACAUCUAUAAUAGAAAUAAUUUCAUUCUAAUGAUAUAACGAUUUUGGACAGGCACAUAUAAUGAGUGAAUAUCCAGCAGCAUUUAGAGUCUCCUUUCUUUACACUGUAUGUGUUUCAAUCGUGACCUCAACGAUUGGACUAGUAGCCGAAAAGAACAAUCCAAGCGUUUGGAUCAUUCAUUUUGAUAUUACUUUGAUUACGAUUGUUACUAUGGUAUGUUAUGUAAAAUUUUUUUAAAUAUUAUCAAAAUCUUUUCUUUUUGAUUUUAACAUAGUUUUGUUUUUUAUAUAAAAUAUUUCAGGCAAUAAUAACUUCAGUAUACUAUGUGAUUCAUUCAUGGACAGUACGUCACAAAGGACCUCUAUACUUAGCGAUAUUUAAGCCUUUGUCGAUUUUAAUAGCAGUGGUUAUGGGGGGCAUUUUUCUCAACGAUUCUCUCUAUCUCGGAUGGUAUAUGAAUCAAUAGUCUUCAUACACAUAUCUAUAAACAAAACAUUUGCUCAUCAUCUUCGAUUUUGUCCUUUGUUUUGCAGUUUGAUCGGAGGAAUUUUGAUAUCAUUAGGCUUCUACGCUGUGAUGUGGGGCAAAGCAAACGAAGAGAAGGACCAGUUGUUAUCAUUUUCUGGAAAAGAGAAAACCCCUCUUCUAUUGAGUGGCGAGAACGACCAAAUUUAAAUAAGAAAAUAAAUUAAAAUCAUGGAUAAUCUCUUAUAUAACGUGCAAAUUGCUUUGUAUAGAACUUAAAGAUGACUAUCUAAUUGUUUUUAAGUUACGUAUAUUGAACGACUAUCUAAAUUCAUUAGAUCAUGUAUAUACGCAAUAGCUUAUAAUUUAUUGGACCCAAUAUUAUAAAGUCAACAAACGAUAAUUAUUGGACCCACAGAAUGCCAUUCCUUUAUAUUGUAACAUCAAGAAAAGCAACAAAAUAAUAAUGAAUUAGAGACUCACAAUUCACACUACUCUUUCUAUCAUUUCCAAUAAUGGCCGGGACAUUAAGUCUCUGGCGGAGAGAGGCCUUGUUCUUGACGGCGAUGCUGGCGACUGAAACCGGCGUCGUUGGAAUGAGUACUUUGUUUAAAGUAGCAACUUCAAAGGGGCUCAAUCUUUAUGCUUUCCUCGGCUAUUCUUAUCUUCUUGCUUCUCUCGUUCUUCUUCCUUCUUUUUUCUUCUCCAACAGGUUUCUAAUAACUUUAUUCUUUAAGACCAUUUAUAACCAUUAUUUUGUAUUGAUUUCAAUUCAUUUGUAUAUUUUUUUGUUUUCCUUUACAGGUCAAGAUCACUUCCUCCCCUAAGUUUCGCAAUACUUUGUAAAAUAGGACUUCUUGGAUUAUUAGGGUAAAGUCUAAUUAACACAAUCUUUUUUUCCAAUUUUAAAUAUGAAAUUAUGUCCCUAUUUGUUAAUAUGUUAUUUUAUGGGGCCAUUCUAAUAAAUGGUUUUUGGCUGAAAAAAAAAAAACACAACAGAUCAAUGUAUGUGAUCACAGGAUACAUAGGCAUCAAAUACAGCAACCCAACCUUAGCCUCUGCCAUUAGCAAUAUCACUCCUGCUCUUACCUUUAUCCUCGCCAUUAUCUUCAGGUUUGAUUUUUUUCUUUUCCCAAUAUUUGCAGAUUUCAGAUUAUUCUAAAAACAGACUAUUCUAGUUCACAGCCGAAAUUGUAACAAUUUCUUCCCAGGCAUAAUCAGCUAAAUAAGGCAACUUAAAAUUGAAUAUUGUUUUUAGUUCACCAACUUAAGUUUUUUUUUUUAAGUUGGAUCAUGUUAGGUUUUCCUAAUUUGGUAAUUCACUAAUUCCUAGUUGCCAAUUGCGGAGCCCUAUGCGGCUAUGCUACCACUAUCUCAGAUACAUAUGUAUAUGUAUAGUGAAUUCGGUAAACGACGAGUGGUGAAAAUUUAAUUAUAUAAAUAAAUAUGCUAAAGUUGUUAAUAUAAAAUAAAAUAAAGGUGAUCGUGAAAAUUUUAGAUAAAAAUAUAAUGCAUUAUAAUAUUAAAUAUAUAUCUUAAAAAUAUAUUUAUUUAAGUUAUUUAGUAAAUGAGUUAACACAUAUUCAAAAUAUAUGAUCUACAUUCAAGAGUUGUAUCCACCGACACAUAUUUUAAAAAACUAUUUUAAAGUACAUUUCUGGAGUGUUGAAAAAGUUAUUAUUUUGAGUGUGUAAAAUAAAGUUAUGGUUGUAAAUUAAAUUUGUAAAAUAUUUUAAGGAAUAUUCUUUUCUUUUUUUUGUGCAAACCUUUUUGAAGGAAUAUUCUAUUUAAUAUUUUCUAAGCUUUGUACUAUAAGUACUAAAAUUUGAUGAGGGAUUAGAACAAAGUUAAGUGAGUGAAAAAGAGUUUUAUAGACACUCACAAAUUCUUUCUCACUCACUUAGUUUGGUUCUAACACCUCACCAAACCUUGGUAUUUAUAGUACAAAGCUGAGGGAAUAUUACAUAAAAUAUUCCUUAAGAUAUUUUACAAAUUUAUGUUACAACCAUAACUUUAUUCUACUUACUCACAAUCGUAACUUUUUUUCAACAAAUUCCAAAAAUGUAAUUUUAAAAAUGUUUUAGUGAAUACAACUCUUGAAUGUAGACCAUAUAGUUUGAAUAUGUGUUAAAUAUUUGGAUAUAAAAAUUAGUAUCUCUUAUUUUUUAGCAUCCAAGAAUUUGUAACAAUACAAUCCACUUCUCUAAGUAUCGAGUUCAUUUUGAGUAAUACUGAUUGCGCUAAUACAUGGAGUGGAAAAAUGCUAAGCCCCAAUUGUUUGUUUGCAUUAUUCAACUAGAUGCGUAUCAAUUCGUCUUUCUUUGACUAUUUACGAUGGCAUUUAUGCCUUUGUUUCUUAUUUUAGAAUCCAUAAAAUAUAACACAUAAUUUUAAUUUGUGAAUAAAGAAUGGAAAAAGUAUCUUUCAAAGAAAGGAGCAGUGUGGCCAAAGUGAUUGGGACAAUAUUGUCACUAAUAGGCGCACUUGUGGUGGUUCUCUACCACGGUCCACGUGUCUUCAUUGCAUCAUCUCCGCCGUAUCUAAACUUCCGUCAGCUUCCUCCACCGUUAUCAUCUUCAAAUUCAGAUUGGCUCAUCGGCGGAGCUCUUCUAACCACAAGAGACAUCUUCGUUUCUGUAUCUUUCAUUCUCCAGGUAACAUUUUUUGUUCUUAUACAUAAUAGAUAUACUCCAAAACUUUAUGGUUAAGUGGAGAACCAUAACGACCAUAAACUUUUGUUGUAACCAUUUCGAGGGUUUAUAAGGAAUUGUGGGAUGAGUGAGAGCUCUAGUGACAACAAAUUAUCUUGAGAAAAAAAUGUAGUAAUGAGGAUAAAAUGAAAAUUAUACCGCAGUUUCAAAAUGAUGAAUGGUUAAAGUUUUCAAGAGCUCAAAUGAAAAAAUAUAGGGUUUGAAUGGUAACUCCAUACAGCUAUAGUAUAGGUUAUACCGUUUUGACAGUUACCAAUCACAAAAACGAUAUCAAAAGUGUUAUUAAAAGUUUUACUCUCAGCUUUUUUGUACAGCAUUUUUUUUUUUUUUUUGAUAAAUUUUAUCGGCUGAUCCGGUCAGCCCCGAUAGAAACGCACCGAAGUGCUUUUUUGUACAGUUUUCAUUUCCAACUGUUUUGUACAGUUUUACACUAUUCCGUAAAAACUUACGGAUCCAUAAUGUUUUGACGGGUGCGGAAAAAAAAAUAGAGAGAAAUAUAAAUAGAUUUACGUGGUUCAUCAACAAAAUGUUCGAUAUGUUCCAUGCAAAAGAGACUAAUUUUGUUAUCGGAGGCAGAAUUUUUAAAAUACAACAGAUUGGAUCCUCGAUCCUAGGCCAAAUAGAGAACCUAACCUGAAAACAACAACCCAUAAAGAAUUACCCCAUACUAGCAACACUCAUGUGCUAUCACAAAACAACGUACAAUCAAAUUCUAGGCUAAUCAAUAGAUGAUGGAGUUGGUCAUAGUCCAAUAACGAUUUGCUUACCUAUAGAAGAGAAUUCUCAAAGGGAAGUUCUAUUUCAUAAACAUUGGAGUUUAAAACUCGAUAUAGGCAUAUAGGUAGAGGCGGCCAUGAGGUCAAGCAAGACAAGCUUGAACAUGCAUCAAUUUUAUUUCAAUGUUUAUUCUAUAUAAUGAUUUUGGACAGGCGCAAAUAAUGAGUGAAUAUCCAGCGGCAUUCACAGUCUCCUUCCUCUACACUGUAUCAGUUUCAAUCGUGACUUCAGUGAUUGGACUAGUAGUGGAAAAGAACAAUCCAAGCGUUUGGAUCAUUCGAUUUGACAUUACUUUGAUUACAAUUGUUACUAUGGUACGAUAUUCGUAUUUAAAAAAAAUUACCAAUAUAUUUAUUUACUUUUGAUCUUAACAUAGUCUUUUAUAAAACAUUUCAGGCAAUAGUUACUUCAGUGUACUAUGUGAUUCAUUCAUGGACAGUAAGUCACAAAGGACCUCUAUACUUAGCGAUAUUUAAGCCAUUGUCGAUUUUAAUAGCAGUGGUUAUGAGCGCAGUUUUUCUCAACGAUUCUCUCUAUCUUGGAUGGUAUGUGAUCAAUAGUCUUCAUUAUAUUAUACACAUAUAUACAAACAAAAUAUUUUCGAUUUUUUGCUUUAUGUUGC
rnacentral:lncRNA from 1 species